rnacentral:rRNA from 1 species
UAGGGAAUCUUCGGCAAUGGGGGCAACCCUGACCGAGCAACGCCGCGUGAGUGAAGAAGGUUUUCGGAUCGUAAAGCUCUGUUGUAAGUCAAGAACGGGUGUGAGAGUGGAAAGUUCACACUGUGACGGUAGCUUACCAGAAAGGGACGGCUAACUACGUGCCAGCAGCCGCGGUAAUACGUAGGUCCCGAGCGUUGUCCGGAUUUAUUGGGCGUAAAGCGAGCGCAGGCGGUUUGAUAAGUCUGAAGUUAAAGGCUGUGGCUCAACCAUAGUUCGCUUUGGAAACUGUCAAACUUGAGUGCAGAAGGGGAGAGUGGAAUUCCAUGUGUAGCGGUGAAAUGCGUAGAUAUAUGGAGGAACUCCGGUGGCGAAAGCGGCUCUCUGGUCUGUAACUGACGCUGAGGCUCGAAAGCGUGGGGAGCGAACAGG